rnacentral:rRNA from 1 species
CAGCCGCCACGGGAAUACGAAGGGUGCAAGCGUUACUCGGAAUUACUGGGCGUAAAGCGUGCGUAGGUGGUGGUUUAAGUCCGUUGUGAAAGCCCUGGGCUCAACCUGGGAAUUGCAGUGGAUACUGGGUCACUAGAGUGUGGUAGAGGAUAGUGGAAUUUCCGGUGUAGCAGUGAAAUGCGUAGAGAUCGGAAGGAACAUCUGUGGCGAAGGCGACUAUCUGGGCCAACACUGACACUGAGGCACGAAAGCGUGGGGAGCAAACAGGAUUAGAGACCCCGGUAGUCCCUGUCUCUUAUAA